rnacentral:rRNA from 1 species
AUUGAACGCUGGCGGCAGGCCUAACACAUGCAAGUCGAGCGAGCGGCGGACGGGUGAGUAAUGUCUGGGAAACUGCCUGAUGGAGGGGGAUAACUACUGGAAACGGUAGCUAAUACCGCAUACCAUCAGAUGUGCCCCGAUGGGAUUAGCUAGUAGGUGGGGUAAAGGCUCACCUAGGCGAGGAUCCCUAGCUGGUCUGAGAGGAUGACCAGCAAGACUGGAACGUAGACACGGUCCAGACUCCGACGUGAGGCAGCAGUGGGGAAUAUUGCACAAUGGGCGCAAGCCUGAUGCAGCCAUGCCGCGUGUGUGAAGAAGGCCUUCGGGUUGUAAAGCACUUUCAGCGGGGAGGCGUUACCCGCAGAAGAAGCACCGGCUAACUCCGUGCCAGCAGCCGCGGUAAUAC